UACGUAGGUGGCAAGCGUUGUCCGGAAUUAUUGGGCGUAAAGAGCGUGUAGGCGGCCCGAUUAGUCCGCUGUGAAAGUCCAGGGCUCAACCCUGGAAUGCCGGUGGAAACUGUCGGGCUAGAGUCCGGAAGGGGCGAGUGGAAUUCCUGGUGUAGCGGUGAAAUGCGCAGAUAUCAGGAGGAACACCAAUGGCGAAGGCAGCUCGCUGGGACGUGACUGACGCUGAGACGCGAAAGCGUGGGGAGCAAACAGG
rnacentral:rRNA from 1 species